rnacentral:rRNA from 1 species
AUUGAACGCUGGCGGCAGGCCUAACACAUGCAAGUCGAACGCGUGGCGGACGGGUGAGUAAUGUCUGGGAAACUGCCCGAUGGAGGGGGGUAACUACUGGAAACGGUAGCUAAUACCGCAUACCAUCGGAUGUGCCCAGAUGGGAUUAGCUAGUAGGUGGGGUAACGGCUCACCUAGGCGACGAUCCCUAGCUGGUCUGAGAGGAUGACCAGCCACACUGGAACGGAGCCACGGUCCAGACUCCUACGGGAGGCAGCAGUGGGGAAGAUUGCACAAUGGGCGAAAGCCAGAUGCAGCCAUGCCGCGUGUAUGAAAAAGGCUUUCGGGUUGUAAAGUACUUUCAGCGGGGAGGCGUUACUCGCAGAAGAAGCACCGGCUAACUCCGUGCCAGCAGCCGCGGUAAUUC